UCUCUCUUCCUUCACUUUUCUCCCCAAAUUUUUAAUUCUUCUUCAACCCAAAUUCAAACCCUAUCUCUUCAAUUUCAAAAUGUUGACAAAUUCAUAGACUAAUGAAUCUCCAUAUCUUUUCAACCCUAAUCCAUAUCUCUUUUUAACAUAUUUUUCCCAUUUGUUUUUGCAGGUUGAAGAGAUCUGAAUGUUUUAGGUGUGGAUUUAUAUUCUUGAAGUUCAGUAUUUCUUCAACAUAAGACCUAAAAAAUAUACAAAAUAUAGUGGAUGAAAUUUUGGAUGUGAAAGGCAAAAACAGAUCUAAGGGAGAAAAAGAAGAUUUUGUUGGGAACAAAACCUUAUAAGCUGAAAUUGAUUUUGAAAAUCAUUGAAAUUUUUUGUAUUUAGUUUAAAUGAUGUAAAUUUGAAAUGGAUUUAAGGAGAAUAUUAUUGUG